rnacentral:lncRNA from 1 species
GGUAGAUGUAGGGGUAUUAGGUAGAUGUAGUUGUGUAGGGGUAUUAGGUAGAUGUAGGGGUGUAGGGGUAUUAGGUAGAUGUAGUUGUGUAGGGGUAUUAGGUCGAUGUAAUGGUGUAGGGGUAUUAGGUAGAUGUAGUUGUGUUUGUGGUAUUAGGUAGAUGUAGUGUUAUUAUGUAGAUGUAGUUGUGUAGGGGUAAUAGGUAGAUGUAGUGGUGUAGGGGUAUUAGGUAGAUGUAGGGGUGUAGGGGUAUUAGGUAGAUGUAGUGAUGUAGAGGUAUUAGGUAGAUGUAGGGGUAUUAGGUAGAUGUAGUGGUGUUGGGUAUUAGGUAGAUGUACUGGUGUAGGGGUUUUAGGUAGAUGUAGGGGUAUUAGGUAGAUGUAAGGCUGUAGGGGUAUUAGUUAGAUGUAGUUGUGUUUGUGGUAUUAGGUAGAUGUAGUGGUGUAGGGGUAUUAGGUAAAUGUAGGAGUGUAGGGGUGUUAGGUAGAUGUAGUGGUGUAGGGGUAUUAGGUAGAUGUAGUGGUGUAGAGGUAUUCGGUAGAUGUAGUGGUGUAGGGGUAUUAGGUAGAUGUAGGGUUGUAGGGGUAUUAGGUAGAUGUAGUUGUGUUUGUGGUAUUAGGUAGAUGUAAGGGUGUAGGGAUAUUAGGCAAAUGUAGUGGUGUAGGGGUAUUAGGCAGUUGUAGGGGUAUUAGGUUGAUGUACUGGUGUUGGGGUAUUAGGUAGAUGUAGGGGUAUUAGGAAGUUGAAGGGUAUAGAGGAAUUAAGUAGAUGAAGUGGUGUAGGGGUAUAAGGUAGAUGAAGGGGUGUAGGGGUAUUAGGUAGAUGUAGUUGUGUAGGGGUAUUAGGUAGAUGUAGUGGUGUAGGGGUAUUAGGUAGAGGUAGUGAUGUAGGGGUAUUAGGUAGAGGUAGUUAUGUAGGGGUAUUAGUUAGAUGUAGUGAUGUAGGGGUAUUAGGUAGAAGUACUGAUGUACGGGUAUUAGGUAGAGGUAGUGAUGUGCGGGUAUUAGGUAGAGGUAGUGAUGUAGGGGUAUUAGGUAGAGGUAGUGGUGUAGGGGUAUUAUGUAGAUGUAGUGGUGUAGGGGUAUUAGGUAGAUGUAGUGGUGUAGGGUUAUUAGGUAGAGGUAGUGAUGUAGGGGUAUUAGGUAGAUGUAGUGAUGUAAGGGUAUUAGGUAGAUGUAGUGAAUUGGGGGUAUUAGGUAGAGGUAGUGAUGUAGGGGUAUUAGGUAGAGGUAGUGAUGUAGGGGUAUUAGGUAGAGGUAGUGAUGUAGAGGUAUUAGGUAGAUGUAGUGAUGUAGGGGUAUUAGGUAGAGGUAGUGAUGUAGGGGUAUUAGGUAGAGGUAGUGAUGUAAGGGUAUUAGGUAGAUGUAGUGAUGUAGGGGUAUUAGGUAGAGGUAGUGAUGUAGGGGUAUUAGGUAGAGGUAGUGAUGUAGGGGUAUUAGGUAGAUGUAGUGAUGUAGGGUUAUAAGGUAGAGGUAGUGAUGUAGGGGUAUUAGGUAGAGGUAGUGAUGUAGGGGUAUUACGUAGAUGUAGUGAUGUAGGGGUAUUAGGUAGAGGUAGUUAUGUAGGGGUAUUAGGUAGAUGUAGUGAAUUAGGGGUAUUAGGUAGAGGUAGUGAUGUAGGGGUAUUAGGUAGAGGUAGUGAUGUAGGGGUAUUAGGUAGAGGUAGUGAUGUAGGGGUAUUAGGUAGAGGUAGUGAUGUAGGGGUAUUAGGUAGAUGUAGUGAUGUAAGGGUAUUAGGUAGAGGUAGUGAUGUAAGGCUAUUAGGAAGAUGUAGUGAUGUAGGGGUAUUAGGUAGAUGUAGUGAUGUAGG